AGUCGAGCGGGAUUUCCACUCAUUGAUUCUUCGGAAGAUUUGUUUGGAUUGAGAGCGGCGAACGGGUGAGUAACGCGUGGGUAAGUUGCCUCAAUGUCCGGGAUAGCCCUCUGAAAAGAGGAUUAAUACCGGAUGUGGUCGCCCCGAGCAUUCGGGGUUGUCUAAAGGUGGGGAUUCUUCGGAACCUGCCGCAUCGAGAUACACCUGCGUCCCAUCAGCUUGUUGGUAAGGUAACGGCUUACCAAGGCUAAGACGGGUAGCUGGUCUGAGAGGAUGGUCAGCCACACUGGGACUGAGACACUGCCCAGACUCCUACGGGAGGCUGCAGUCGAGAAUCAUUCACAAUGCGCGAAAGCGUGAUGAUGCGACGCCGCGUGGAGGAUGAAGGCCUUCGGGUUGUAAACUCCUGUCAGGAGGGAAAAAUGCCUCGACAGUUAAUAACUGUCGAGAUUGAUGGUACCUCCAGAGGAAGCCACGGCUAACUCUGUGCCAGCAGCCGCGGUAAUACAGAGGUGGCGAGCGUUGUUCGGAUUUACUGGGCGUAAAGGGUGCGUAGGCGGCAUUGUGUGUCGGAUGUGAAAGCUCACGGCUUAACCGUGGAAAUGCAUCCGAAACUACAAAGCUAGAGUACAGGAGAGGUAAGUGGAAUUCUUGGUGUAGCGGUGAAAUGCGUAGAUAUCAAGAGGAACACCGGUGGCGAAAGCGACUUACUGGACUGAUACUGACGCUGAGGCACGAAAGCCGGGGUAGCAAAAAGGAUUAGAUACUCUUGUAGUCCCGGCCGUAAACGUUGUGUACUUGGUGUAGGAGGAAUUAUCCCCUUCUGUGCCGGAGCUAACGCGUUAAGUACACCGCCUGGGGAGUACGGCCGCAAGGUUAAAACUCAAAGGAAUUGACGGGCCCGCACAAGCGGUGGAGCAUGUGGCUUAAUUCGAUGCACGCGAGACUUACCAGGGCUUGACAUGCUCGUCGUACCCGAUGAAGUUUGGGGUCAUUAGUGACGUGCACAGUGCUGCAU
rnacentral:rRNA from 1 species